rnacentral:rRNA from 1 species
GCCAGACUCCUACGGGAGGCAGCAGUGGGGGAUAUUGCACAAUGGGGGGAACCCUGAUGCAGCGACGCCGCGUGGGUGAAGGAGUAUUUCGGUAUGUAAAGCCCUAUCGGCAGGGAAGAAGAAAGACGGUACCUGACUAAGAAGCCCCGGCUAACUACGUGCCAGCAGCCGCGGUAAUACGUAGGGGGCGAGCGUUAUCCGGAUUCACUGGGUGUAAAGGGAGCGUAGACGGCCAAGCAAGCCAGGGGUGAAAGCCCGGGGCCCAACCCCGGGACUGCCCUUGGAACUGCAUGGCUGGAGUGCGGGAGGGGCAGGCGGAAUUCCUGGUGUAGCGGUGAAAUGCGUAGAUAUCAGGAGGAACACCGGCGGCGAAGGCGGCCUGCUGGACCGUAACUGACGUUGAGGCUCGAAAGCGUGGGGAGCAAACAGGAUUAGAUACCCCUGUA